rnacentral:rRNA from 1 species
GGAUUAGAUACCCUGGUAGUCCACGCUGUAAACGAUGGAUGCUCGAUGUUGCACCGCUUCAGGUGCAGUGUCUAAGCUAACGCGUUAAGCAUCCCACCUGGGGAGUACGAUCGCAAGGUUGAAACUCAAAGGAAUUGACGGGGGCCCGCACAAGCGGUGGAGCAUGUGGAUUAAUUCGAUGCAACGCGAAGAACCUUACCCAGGCUCGAACGCUACCGGACAGCCCCUGAAAGGGGGUCUUCUUCGGACUGGUAGCGAGGUGCUGCAUGGCUGUCGUCAGCUCGUGCCG